rnacentral:rRNA from 1 species
UACGUAGGGUGCGAGCGUUAAUCGGAAUUACUGGGCGUAAAGCGUGCGCAGGCGGUUCGUUAAGUUCGUUGUGAAAGCCCCGGGCUCAACCUGGGAACGGCAAUGGAAACUGGCGGACUCGAGUGUGGCAGAGGGGGGUGGAAUUCCACGUGUAGCAGUGAAAUGCGUAGAGAUGUGGAGGAACACCGAUGGCGAAGGCAACCCCCUGGGCUAACACUGACGCUCAGGCACGAAAGCGUGGGGAGCAAACAGG